GGUGCAAGAAGAAGCAGAACGGCUGUGCAGUGUGCAGCACCUGCGUCUGAUCAAGCCGCGCGUCACAGGUCGAUCGCUGCAAUCAGCCACGCUGGAUACCGUCGUAAACAGAAAUUCUAAUUAUUAAAAAUUACAGCGGCCUUUGUUGCAUUCGCGUCCACAAGUUUACAGCUGCUCUGAUUUCCAAGAAUUGGUGGAAAUGUUCUACACCCCAGAUGACUCCAUACAUUCAUUCGAUCUGUCCAGUACCUCUUCUAUCUCAAGCCAGCUAUAUACCUGGGGCUGUGAGCUGACUUCCACCCAAAGGACAGCCGUAUUUGAUGCAGACUACCCCGUAGAGUGUCAGUUCUUUCUUAAGACAAUCAGUCUGAGUGCUGGUGCCAGUGAUGAUCUGCAUGUGGUUGCUGUGGGAGAUGGGGAUGGCAAAGUCAAGGACGUACCCAUUGCCACUCUGCGUCCCAGCAUGCCCAUGGUUAGUUUACAAGGCUUUGAGCUAACACCACCAGUGACAUUCAAACUCACGUCAGGGCAAGGACCCAUCUUAAUUACUGGACAACAUGUCACAAGCAA